GAUGAACGCUGGCGGCGUGCCUAAUACAUGCAAGUCGAGCGAACAGACGAGGGACUUUCUCCUCUUACGUUCGCGGCGGACGGGUGAGUAACACAUGGAUAACCUACCUAUUAGACUGGGAGAACUUCGGGAAACAGGAGCUAAUACCCCAUAACAUUUUGAAACGCAUGUUUCAGCAGUGAAAGACAGGCUUGCUGCUGCUUCUAGAUGGAUCCGCGCCGCAUUAGCUAGUUGGUAGGGUAACGGCCUACCAAGGCAGCGAUGCGUAGCCGACCUGAGAGGGUGAUCGGCCACACUGGAACUGAGACACGGUCCAGACUCCUACGGGAGGCAGCAGUAGGGAAUCUUCCGCAAUGGGCGAAAGCCUGACGGAGCAACGCCGCGUGAGUGAAGAAGGUCUUCGGAUCGUAAAACUCUGUUAUUAGGGAAGAACAAAUGUGUAAGUAACUAUGAACGUCUUGACGGUACCUAAUCAGAAAGCCACGGCUAACUACGUG
rnacentral:rRNA from 1 species